rnacentral:rRNA from 1 species
GAUGAACGCUGGCGGCAUGCCUAACACAUGCAAGUUGAACGAGCUUUUAUUUUUAGAAAUUUAAGUUAAGUAGCGGACGGGUGAGUAACAUGUAAGAACCUACCUUUAGGAGGAGGAUAACCACUGGAAAUGGUGGCUAAAACUCCAUAAGCUGUGGAGCAAAAAGUGAAAACUGCCUAGAGAUGGGCUUGCAUCUGAUUAGCUUGUGUGAAUUAAUGUUACCAGGCAAUGAUCAGCAGUGGUCUAAGAGGAUGAUC